rnacentral:tRNA from 1 species
AUUCAAAUAUCUUAUAAUAGAGAGUAUAACGUUGAAGUUGUUAUUGAGAUAAGUGUUAUCUUUGAAUA